rnacentral:tRNA from 1 species
GGAAACGUGACCGAGUGGCCGAAGGUGCUCCCCUGCUAAGGGAGUAGGGUACGUAAAAUACCCUCAAGAGUUCGAAUCUCUUCGUUUCCGCCA